UACGAAGGGGGCUAGCGUUGCUCGGAAUCACUGGGCGUAAAGCGCACGUAGGCGGCUUCUUAAGUCAGGGGUGAAAUCCUGGAGCUCAACUCCAGAACUGCCUUUGAUACUGAGGGGCUUGAGUCCGGGAGAGGUGAGUGGAACUGCGAGUGUAGAGGUGAAAUUCGUAGAUAUUCGCAAGAACACCAGUGGCGAAGGCGGCUCACUGGCCCGGUACUGACGCUGAGGUGCGAAAGCGUGGGGAGCAAACGGG
rnacentral:rRNA from 1 species